CACGUAGGGUGCGAGCGUUGUCCGGAAUUAUUGGGCGUAAAGAGCUCGUAGGUGGCUGGUCGCGUCUGCCGUGAAAGCCCGCAGCUUAACUGCGGGUCUGCGGUGGAUACGGGGCCGGCUAGAGGUAGGUAGGGGCAAGUGGAAUUCCUGGUGUAGCGGUGAAAUGCGCAGAUAUCAGGAGGAACACCGGUGGCGAAGGCGGCUUGCUGGGCCUUACCUGACGCUGGAGGAGCGAAAGCGUGGGGAGCGAACAGG
rnacentral:rRNA from 1 species